rnacentral:rRNA from 1 species
UGCCAGCCGCCGCGGUAAUACGAAGGUCCCAAGCGUUGUUCGGAAUCACUGGGCGUAAAGCGUGUGUAGGCUGCGCGGAAAGUCAAAUGUGAAAGCCCGGGGCUCAACCCUGGAACUGCCUUUAAAACUGUUAGUCUUGAGAUCGAGAGAGGUGAGUGGAAUCCCAAGUGUAGAGGUGAAAUUCGUAGAUAUUUGGAGGAACACCAGUGGCGAAGGCGGCUCACUGGCUCGAUACUGACGCUGAGGUACGAAAGUGUGGGGAGCAAACAGGAUUAGAUA